rnacentral:rRNA from 1 species
UUAAUUGAAGAGUUUGAUCAUGGCUCAGAUUGAACGCUGGCGGCAGGCCUAACACAUGCAAGUCGAACGGUAGCACAGAGAGCUUGCUCUUGGGUGACGAGUGGCGGACGGGUGAGUAAUGUCUGGGAAACUGCCCGAUGGAGGGGGAUAACUACUGGAAACGGUAGCUAAUACCGCAUAACGUCUACGGACCAAAGUGGGGGACCUUCGGGCCUCACACCAUCGGAUGUGCCCAGAUGGGAUUAGCUGGUAGGUGGGGUAACGGCUCACCUAGGCGACGAUCCCUAGCUGGUCUGAGAGGAUGACCAGCCACACUGGAACUGAGACACGGUCCAGACUC